UACGUAGGGUGCUAACGUUGUUCGGAAUCACUGGGCAUAAAGAGCGCGUAGGCAGUCUGAUAAGUCAGGUGUGAAAUCCCCCGGCUCAACCGGGGAACUGCACCUGAUACUGUUGGGCUUGAGUGCAGGAGGGGAGAGCGGAAUUCCUGGUGGAGCGGUGAAAUGCGUAGAUAUCAGGAGGAACGCCGGCGGCGAAAGCGGCUCUCUGGCCUGUUACUGACGCUGAGGCGCGAAAGCUAGGGGAGCAAACGGG
rnacentral:rRNA from 1 species